UACGAAGGGGACUAGCGUUGUUCGGAAUCACUGGGCGUAAAGCGCACGUAGGCGGAUAUGUCAGUCAGGGGUGAAAUCCCGGGGCUCAACCUCGGAACUGCCCUUGAUACAGCAUGUCUUGAGUCCGAUAGAGGUGGGUGGAAUUCCUAGUGUAGAGGUGAAAUUCGUAGAUAUUAGGAAGAACACCGGUGGCGAAGGCGGCCCACUGGAUCGGUACUGACGCUGAGGUGCGAAAGCGUGGGGAGCAAACAGGAUUAGAAACCCUCGUAGUCC
rnacentral:rRNA from 1 species